UACGAGGGGUGCAAGCGUUGCUCGGAAUUAUUGGGCGUAAAGGGUAGGUAGGUGGUCUCAUUUGUCUGGGGUGAAAGCCUUGAGCUUAACUCAAGAAGUGCCCUAGAAACGGUGAGACUGGAGUCCUGGAGAGGGUCGUGGAAUUCCCGGUGUAGCGGUGAAAUGCGUAGAGAUCGGGAGGAACACCGGUGGCGAAGGCGGGUCUCUGGGCAGUAACUGACGCUGAGGAGCGAAAGCGUGGGGAGCGAACAGG
rnacentral:rRNA from 1 species